AAGCUGUGUCCACCUGCCUCACACUUUAUUAUUUUAUCUUAGUCCUUUCUUCUAUAUGAAAGACUUUACUUAGAAACCACUUAAAAAUAACAGGUAUAAAAUUUCUGUCUUAAGACCCCUUUCCUCCCAUCAAACUCUUUACCACUCUUCAAAUUCAUGGCUCUUUAUCUAAUUGUUAUAUCACACACACACACACACAUACACACACACACACACACACACACACACACACACACACACACACACACACACACACUCACUCACUCCCAAAUAUAACCUGUUCCCUUGUUUAUAUGUAUAUUUUCAGGGCUGGUCAUUUGGUACUGAACAACUAAUUGGUGUGCUCUUCCCUGGGAAAGGUCCCCAGGAGAAGACUUUGAUAACAAGUACAUUGGAGCCACGAGACACUGCCAACAGUGACACAGUGCAGAACGGUGACACUGGUCUGUAAGCAUCUUAACCAUGGCCUUCCUUGCACCGGGACAGAUUCAUGCCACGGAAUCAGUGUGGUGCUCAAUGCAGAAGAUUGAAGCCAUUGUUGAAAACAAUGCGUUUCCGCAUCUACCCAUCCCACAAGGAACCAAAUCAAGGCACAGAACAUACAGAAAUGUUUCUCAUGUCCAGUAGAGACACUGUGGCUGGUCUUCCUAAUUUCCAACUCGCUCUAUGUCCCCAGUCUUCAGAACAACCCCACCUGGAGUGA
rnacentral:lncRNA from 1 species